GGCGAGCGUUAUCCGGAUUUACUGGGCGUAUAGAGCUCGUAGGCGGGACCUCAAGUCAGAUGUGAAAGCUCCCGGCUCAACUGGGAGAGGUCAUCUGAUACUGGGGUUCUUGAGGGCAGGAGAGGGAGGUGGAAUUCCCGGUGGGGCGGUGGAAUGCGUGGAGAUCGGGAGGAACACCAGUGGCGAAGGCGGCCUCCUGGCCUGUGCCUGACGCUGAGGAGCGAAAGCUAGGGGAGCGAACGGGAUUAGAGACCCCGGUAGUCCUAGCCGUAAACGAUGGAUACUAGGUGUUGGGGGUAUUGACCCCCCCAGUGUCGCAGCUAACGCGUUAAGUAUCCCGCCUGGGGACUACGGCCGCAAGGCUAAAACUCAAAGGAAUUGACGGGGCCCCGCACAAGCAGCGGAGCGUGUGGUUCAAUUCGAUGCUACGCGAAGAACCUUACCUGGGCUUGACAUGUCCGUGGUAGGAAGGCGAAAGCUGGACGACCCUUCGGGGAGCGGACACAGGUGCUGCAUGGCUGUCGUCAGCUCGUGCCGUGAGGUGUUAGGUUAAGUCCUGUAACGAGCGCAACCCCUGUUGCAUGUUACACGUAUCAUGCGAGACUGCCAAGGUAAAACUGGAGGAAGGUGGGGAUGACGUCAAGUCAGCAUGGCCUUUAUGUCCAGGGCUACACACACGCUACAAUGGCCGAUACAAUGGGUCGCGACACCGCGAGGUGGAGCUAAUCCUCAAAGUCGGCCCUAGUUCGGAUUGGAGUCUGCAACUCGACUCCAUGAAGCUGGAGUUGCUAGUAACCGCGCGUCAGCACAGUGCGGUGAAUACGUUCCCGGGGUUUG
rnacentral:rRNA from 1 species